CCCUUAGAUGUCCGGGGCCGCACGCGCGCUACACUGAAGGAAUCAGCGUGGCUUUCUCCCUGACCCGAAAGGGUUGGGAAACCCGUUGAAUCUCCUUCGUGAUAGGGAUUGGGGCUUGAAAUUGUUCCCCAUGAACGAGGAAUUCCCAGUAAGCGCGAGUCAUAAGCUCGCGUUGAUUACGUCCCUGCCCUUUGUACACACCGCCCGUCGCUCCUACCGAUUGGGUGAGCCGAUGAAACUCUCGGAUGUAGGCUAUUCAUAGCCCGCAGAAGAGAUUUGAAUCGUAGCGCUUAGAGGAAGGAGAAGUCGUAACA
rnacentral:rRNA from 1 species